UUGGAGGGCAAGUCUGGUGCCAGCAGCCGCGGUAAUUCCAGCUCCAAUAGCGUAUAUUAAAGUUGUUGUGGUUAAAAAGCUCGUAGUUGAACCUUGGGCCUGGCUGGCCGGUCCGCCUCACCGCGUGUACUGGUCCGGCCGGGCCUUUCCCUCUGUGGAACCCCAUGCCCUUCACUGGGCGUGGCGGGGAAACAGGACUUUUACUGUGAAAAAAUUAGAGUGCUCCAGGCAGGCCUAUGCUCGAAUACAUUAGCAUGGAAUAAUAGAGUAGGA
rnacentral:rRNA from 1 species